CCCCCUCGCACGGAGCAUGCGCCGCCCACGGCCGUCGGCAAGAAGAGAGCGCGCUUCCGGGUUUCAGACAAGGCGGAGUGCGGGGGUGACGCGGCGGGAGGGGGCUGGCGUUUUACGUGUAGCAGAAUGAGAGACGUGACACAAGAGGUCCCAAGGGAGCAAACCUGAAAGCCAGCGCCACCUGAACGCACAGACGGCCAAGGGGCGAGAUGAUACUCCUCACUGUUUCCAGAUAGAAGAAGCAUCGCUUUCUUCAGCAGAUUGAUAGAUGAAGCAUAAAACAAGACCAGAUGCUGUGGUUUCCAGGAUGCACUUGGCUUCCCAUGCUUUAUAACCUGGAGCAUUUAUUGCUGGCAUCCUGAGUCUCCAUCAACCAAGGUGGUACAAAAACAGCACUCUACUUGGUUUGUGUUCUGUGCCCUGAAGCAGAAAUGCGUUUAAUUGUACAUUGCAAAAUAAACAGAUAUCUAGAGGAGAAGGUUAUUAAAAAUAUUUUGCGCAGUUUGGAAGAACAAACUAGAGGUCAGGAUUGCUUGACCUAGCGUCUCCAAGCAAACCCCAGUCAAGUAAGCUGCCAAGGUGACCUAGGAAGAGGGUGGCCCUAUGAGCUCUAGCAGCCAAUGGCCUGGGACCGCACCCUGGGAGGCAGCCAAGACAAAGAACGAGGCAAAAAUGAUGCUGUUCCAGUUUUGGGCCUAUACCUGGCAACUUUAGUUUUUGCUCUCUUGGACGAUAAUCACCACGUAAAGAACACUGACAGCUGUGCUGAAGAGGAAGGCCUCAUGGAGGCAGCGUGUUUCUGGAGGAUGAGACCCUCUGGAGGGAGACAGGCCCAGCCUCUCGCUAUUUCAGCCACUCCAGCUGAACCACUAGCCCUGUGCUCGAAGUCGUCUCGGGUCCCCCAGCCCCCGUCAAGCUGCCCCAGCCAACAAACACGAAGGAAAGAUAAGCUGUCACCACUGUGACACUGUCCAUAGUGCAGAAUGUGAGCAAGAAAAUGGUCCAUGCUGUUUCAAGCUGCCACACUUUGGGGUAGUGUGUUAUGCAUAAUAAAUAAUGGAAAUCGAUGUCUGGGAGUUGGAUGUUGGCUUAAAAAAAUCUAAGACACGUGGCACCGGCUUUGGGAGCAGGCAUUGGGUAGAGGUUGGAGAGGUGAAGAAGAAACUCUCUUUUUUUUUAAUUCACUAUUUUUUUUUAAAUUUCUAUUUUGAAACAAUUUUAGACUUACACAAAAGUUGCAAAACUGGCACAGAGUUCAUGCAUGUUCUUCACCCAGCUGCCCGAAUAGUGAUAAAUUGCAUAGCCAGAGAAUAAUGAUCAAAACCAGGAAAUUGACAUAAACCACAGACCGUGUAGGAACUUUGCCAGUUUUUCUGGUAAUGUUCUUUUCCCGUUUCAGAAUCCAAUCCAGGAUCCUGCGUUUGCAUUUAGUUGAUGUAUCUCCUUGGUCUGGGAAGGAGACUCUUAGUGGAGGCUCUGAGGGUCGUGAGAAAAUUGUAUUGCAGGCUGGAGAAGUGGUGCUGUGUAGUCGCAAAAUGUUUGGCAUCCCUUGUGAGCAGUAAAACACAGAAGACAGAAAAUGUACCUAAUGAACUUGUAGAUCUGGCAAAGGGGAGUUUCAAGCUGCACGUUCAGAAUAUCAGUUGGCUUCUUGUAGUGAGGUGUGAUGGUGUUACUAGAGAGAGAGAGAGAGAGAGAGAGAUGUGUUAAAAAAGGAACUGUUCCGUUUUCAAGCAGAAUGUAGAGGAAAUAGGGCCUUGGAGAUUCUGUGUUGUCAGCAAUAGUCUCAAAGGAAGGAAUGGCCUCAGGGGCCUGCCUUUCGAAUGUGGCCUUGAGGUAGAAAUCCAAUCAAGACUAUGUUGAAGCCUCUACAUGUUAAGAUGUUGUUUCAUAGACCCUCUCAUCUAGCCAAAAGGGCUCCUAAGAAGAUCCUUCAGGGGAUUCCAACAGCAUCUCCUUUGACAAGGCCUAAAGUAGACAGAAGUUUGUUCUUGGAAGAAUUAUAGAUGUUGCUUUGUGGGCAGAGUUGUCGAAGGCAAGAAGUAAACUCCGUUAAGACUCAUAGGAAAUCCACAAAAUGUUGAAGACAACUGUAUUGAUGAAACCACUGCUAGCCUGAACUAAAGGGGAAAGAGAGAGUUCAAAAUGUAAACAAACAAACAAACAAAAAACCAUCGGGCCCCCAGCUUUCUGUGGACAGGACCCAGGCUGAGAGAGCUAUUGGACCAUAAAGGGCAGUCAGUGGCUUAUGGAAAAGGAAGCCUCAAAAGUCAUAGCCUGCAUCCCGGAGUAGGGAGCCAGGAACAGUGGUUUGGGAAGCAGCUCCUGGGGAGAAGAACCAGCCCCUAAUGGCGGGGCGGUCUGGGUUCCCAGAGUGAGGGUGACAGUGCUCAGCUGGCUUUCAGAACUGCUAGGGCUGGUGGCUGCUCUGUGCCUUCUGUCUCCCCCGCUUUGAACACAAGUGUCUGUUUUACUUAACUUAUCCCUGUCUCAGCGUCGUAUGUUGUGUCUAUACCUCGUCUUUUCAGCUCACAGGUCUCCAGAGGAAAAGGAGCAGCAUCUAAAAUGCCUCCGCCACGCCUACUGUCUACCAUUAGAUCCUGGCCCUUAGAGCCAGUGCUACACAGAAUGACAAUUUGGGGGGAGGGAGUGUAUUCUGCAAGUCUGUGUGUGUGGGUGUGUGGGUGUGAAUUGUUGUGGCCAAAGGGUGGCUUAUGAUAGAGUGUUUCCCCAUAUGACUGCCGACAGCUCCUCUUAUUCCAGACACUCCUUCCAUUAGGGAGUGUGGUCUCUUUCCUGUCCCCUUGGGUCUGGGCUGGCCCUGUGACUGCCUUUGGCCAGGAGAAUACAGGGAAAGUGAUGUUCUGGGACUUCCAAGCCCUGGCUUUCACUAGCCUUGUAGCUUCCGCUUUCUCUUUCUUGGG